rnacentral:rRNA from 1 species
UACGGAGGGGGCUAGCGUUGUUCGGAAUUACUGGGCGUAAAGCGCACGUAGGCGGCUUUUGUAAGUUAGAGGUGAAAGCCCGGGGCUCAACUCCGGAAUUGCCUUUAAGACUGCAUCGCUAGAAUUGUGGAGAGGUAAGUGGAAUUCCUAGUGUAGCGGUGAAAUGCGUAGAGAUUAGGAAGAACACCAGUGGCGAAGGCGACUUACUGGACUGUAACUGACGCUGAGGCAUGAAAGCGUGGGGAGCAAACAGG